ACAUGAUUCUGGCAGUAUGCACUUA
rnacentral:piRNA from 1 species